rnacentral:rRNA from 1 species
UGGCCAGACUCCUACGGGAGGCAGCAGUGGGGAAUAUUGCACAAUGGGGGAAACCCUGAUGCAGCGACGCCGCGUGAGUGAAGAAGUAUUUCGGUAUGUAAAGCUCUAUCAGCAGGGAAGAAAAUGACGGUACCUGACUAAGAAGCCCCGGCUAACUACGUGCCAGCAGCCGCGGUAAUACGUAGGGGGCAAGCGUUAUCCGGAUUUACUGGGUGUAAAGGGAGCGUAGACGGCAGCGCAAGUCUGAAGUGAAAUCCCAUGGCUUAACCAUGGAACUGCUUUGGAAACUGUGCAGCUAGAGUGCAGGAGAGGUAAGUGGAAUUCCUAGUGUAGCGGUGAAAUGCGUAGAUAUUAGGAGGAACACCAGUGGCGAAGGCGACUUUCUGGACUGUACCUGACGCUGAGGCGCGAAAGCGUGGGUAGCGAACGGGAUUAGAUACCCCAGUA